rnacentral:rRNA from 1 species
AUGAACGCUGGCGGCGUGCCUAAUACCUGCCAGUCGCGCGAACAGACGAGGAGCUUGCUCCUCUGACGUUAGCGGCGGACGGGUGAGUAACACGUGGAUAACCUACCUAUAAGACUGGGAUAACUUCGGGAAACCGGAGCUAAUACCGGAUAAUAUAUUGAACCGCAUGGUUCCAUAGUGAAAGACGGUUUUGCUGUCACUUAUAGAUGGAUCCGCGCCGCAUUAGCUAGUUGGUAAGGUAACGGCUUACCAAGGCAACGAUGCGUAGCCGACCUGAGAGGGUGAUCGGCCACACUGGAACUGAGACACGGUCCAGACUCCUACGGGAGGCAGCAGUAGGGAAUCUUCCGCAAUGGGCGAAAGCUUGACGGAGCAACGCCGCGUGAGUGAUGAAGGUCUUCGGAUCGUAAAACUCUGUUAUUAGGGAAGAACAAAUGUGUAAGUAACUAUGCACGUCUUGACGGUACCUAAUCAGAAAGCCACGGCUAACUACGUG